rnacentral:rRNA from 1 species
UACUGCCAGUGACAAACUGGAGGAAGGCGGGACGACGUCAAGUCAUCAUGGCCCUUAGACCAGGGCUACACACGUGCUACAAUGGUCGGUACAAAGGGUUGCUACCUAGCGAUAGGAUGCUAAUCUCAAAAAGCCGAUCGUAGUCCGGAUUGGAGUCUGCAACUCGACUCCAUGAAGUCGGAAUCGCUAGUAAUCGCGGAUCAGAAUGCCGCGGUGAAUACGUUCCCGGGCCUU